AUCUAACUGCAUACUCAACCUUGUCAACCUUUCCAAUUCAAAGAUUUUGGCAUAAACACAAAUCUUUUUUAGCUUGCAUAUUCAACACAAAUCUACCUUCCCCAAAUUCAAAAUCACUUUCUAUCUUCCUCGUUCUUCAGGUUUAAUCUAUGGGUUUCUAAAUUUCUUCGACGUCAGCAACAACAAAUAAUUCGUAGGUAAAAUAGAAAGGUAUGAUUAUGUGAGAAAUAGAAUAAUCGGGAAAGGUAGGGUUUUUAUUUUGUUGGUGUUGAUAAUGAAAAGGGGAUAAUUUGUGGUUAGGUUUUUAAA